rnacentral:rRNA from 1 species
CUGGGGUACUCGAGUGGCGAACGGGUGAGUAACACGUGGGUGAUCUACCCUGCACUUCGGGAUAAGCCUGGGAAACUGGGUCUAAUACCGGAUAGGACCAUCGUUUAGUGUCGGUGGUGGAAAGUUUUUCGGUGUGGGAUGAGCUCGCGGCCUAUCAGCUUGUUGGUGGGGUAAUGGCCUACCAAGGCGUCGACGGGUAGCCGGCCUGAGAGGGUGUACGGCCACAUUGGGACUGAGAUACGGCCCAG